rnacentral:rRNA from 1 species
GACGAACGCUGGCGGCGUGCUUAACACAUGCAAGUCGAACGGACAGGCCCUGCUUUUGUGGGUUGCUCGUGUGGCGAACGGGUGAGUAACACGUGAGUAACCUGCCCUUGACUUUGGGAUAACUUCAGGAAACUGGGGCUAAUACCGGAUAGGAGCUCCUGCUGCAUGGUGGGGGUUGGAAAGUUUCGGCGGUUGGGGAUGGACUCGCGGCUUAUCAGCUUGUUGGUGUGGUAGUGGCUUACCAAGGCUUUGACGGGUAGCCGGCCUGAGAGGGUGACCGGCCACAUGGGGACUGAGAGACGGCCCAGACUCCUACGGGAGGCAGCAGGGGGGAAUAUUGCACAAUGGGCGGAAGCCUGAUGCAGCAACGCCGCGUGCGGGAUGACGGCCUUCGGGUUGUAAACCGCUUUCGCCUGUGACGAAGCGUGAGUGACGGUAAUGGGUAAAGAAGCACCGGCUAACUACGUG